rnacentral:rRNA from 1 species
AUGAACGCUGGCGGCGUGCCUAAUACAUGCAAGUCGAGCGAACAGACGAGGAGCUUGCUCCUCUGACGUUAGCGGCGGACGGGUGAGUAACACGUGGAUAACCUACCUAUAAGACUGGGAUAACUUCGGGAAACCGGAGCUAAUACCGGAUAAUAUAUUGAACCGCAUGGUUCAAUAGUGAAAGACGGUUUUGCUGUCACUUAUAGAUGGAUCCGCGCCGCAUUAGCUAGUUGGUAAGGUAACGGCUUACCAAGGCAACGAUGCGUAGCCGACCUGAGAGGGUGAUCGGCCACACUGGAACUGAGACACGGUCCAGACUCCUACGGGAGGCAGCAGUAGGGAAUCUUCCGCAAUGGGCGAAAGCUUGGCGGAGCAACGCCGCGUGAGUGAUGAAGGUCUUCGGAUCGUAAAACUCUGUUAUUAGGGAAGAACAAAUGUGUAAGUAACUAUGCACGUCUUGACGGUACCUAAUCAGAAAGCCACGGCUAACUACGUG